GUGUCAGCAGCCGCGGUAAUACGUAGGUGGCGAGCGUUAUCCGGAAUUACUGGGUGUAAAGGGCGUGUAGGCGGGGAUGCAAGUCAGAUGUGAAAUUCCGGGGCUCAACCUCGGCACUGCAUCUGAAACUGUGUCUCUUGAGUGCUGGAGAGGAAAGUGGAAUUCCUAGUGUAGCGGUGAAAUGCGUAGAGAUUAGGAGGAACACCAGUGGCGAAGGCGACUUCCUGGCCUGUAACUGACGCUGAGGCGCGAAAGCGUGGGGAGCAAACAGGAUUAGAUACCCUGGUAGUCCACGCUGUAAACGAUGGAUACUAGGUGUAGGAGGUAUCGACCCCUUCUGUGCCGGAGUUAACACAAUAAGUAUCCCACCUGGGGAGUACGGCCGCAAGGCUGAAACUUAAAGGAAUUGGCGG
rnacentral:rRNA from 1 species